rnacentral:rRNA from 1 species
CCUACGGGAGGCAGCAGUGGGGGAUAUUGCGCAAUGGGGGAAACCCUGACGCAGCAAUGCCGCGUGAAGGAUGAAAGGCUUCGGAAUGGAAACUUCUUUUGUCAGGGACGAAUUUUGACGGUACCUGACGAAUAAGCUCCGGCUAACUACGUGCCAGCAGCCGCGGUAAU